rnacentral:rRNA from 1 species
ACGAUGUCAACUAGUUGUUGGGGAUUCAUUUCCUUAGUAACGUAGCUAACGCGUGAAGUUGACCGCCUGGGGAGUACGGUCGCAAGAUUAAAACUCAAAGGAAUUGACGGGGACCCGCACAAGCGGUGGAUGAUGUGGAUUAAUUCGAUGCAACGCGAAAAACCUUACCUACCCUUGACAUGGUCGGAAUCCCGCUGAGAGGUGGGAGUGCUCGAAAGAGAACCGGCGCACAGGUGCUGCAUGGCUGUCGUCAGCUCGUGUCGUGAGAUGUUGGGUUAAGUCCCGCAACGAGCGCAACCCUUGUCCUUAGUUGCUACGCAAGAGCACUCUAAGGAGACUGCCGGUGACAAACCGGAGGAAGGUGGGGAUGACGUCAAGUCCUCAUGGCCCUUAUGGGUAGGGCUUCACACGUCAUACAAUGGUCGGAACAGAGGGUUGCCAACCCGCGAGGGGGAGCUAAUCCCAGAAAACCGAUCGUAGUCCGGAUUGCACUCUGCAACUCGAGUGCAUGAAGCUGGAAUCGCUAGUAAUCGCGGAUCAGCAUGCCGCGGUGAAUACGUU